AUUGAACGCUGGCGGAAUGCUUUACACAUGCAAGUCGAACGGUAGAGGGGGCAACCCCUUGAGAGUGGCGAACGGGUGAGUAAUAUAUCGGAACGUGCCCAGUCGUGGGGAUAACGUAGCGAAAGUUACGCUAAUACCGCAUACGAUCUAAGGAUGAAAGCGGGGGAUCGCAAGACCUCGCGCGAUUGGAGCGGCCGAUAUCAGAUUAGGUAGUUGGUGAGGUAAAGGCUCACCAAGCCAACGAUCUGUAGCUGGUCUGAGAGGACGACCAGCCACACUGGGACUGAGACACGGCCCAGACUCCUACGGGAGGCAGCAGUGGGGAAUUUUGGACAAUGGGCGCAAGCCUGAUCCAGCAAUGCCGCGUGCAGGAUGAAGGCCU
rnacentral:rRNA from 1 species